CCUACGGGAGGCUGCAGUGGGGAAUAUUGGGCAAUGGGCGCAAGCCUGACCCAGCAACGCCGCGUGAAGGAAGACUGCCCUAUGGGUUGUAAACCUCUUUUGUCAGGGAGCAACGCCGGCUACGUGUAGCCGGACUGAGAGUACCUGAAGAAAAAGCAUCGGCUAACUCCGUGCCAGCAGCCGCGGUAAUACGGAGGAUGCGAGGGUUAUCCGGAUUUAUGGGGUUUAAGGGGUGCGUAGGCGGAAUGCCAAGUCAGCGGUAAAAGCGCGGGGCUCAACCUCGCUCCGCCGUUGAAACUGGCGUUCUUGAGUGGGCGAGAAGUAUGCGGAAUGCGUGGUGUAGCGGUGAAAUGCAUAGAUAUCACGCAGAACUCCGAUUGCGAAGGCAGCAUACCGGCGCGCAACUGACGCUGAAGCACGAAGGCGUGGGUAUCGAACAGGAUUAGAUACCCGUGUAGUC
rnacentral:rRNA from 1 species